rnacentral:rRNA from 1 species
CACGUAGGGCGCAAGCGUUGUCCGGAAUUAUUGGGCGUAAAGAGCUCGUAGGUGGUUUGUUACGUCUGCUGUGAAAACCUAGGGCUUAACCCUGGGCUUGCAGUGGAUACGGGCAGACUAGAGGUAGGUAGGGGAGAAUGGAAUUCCUGGUGUAGCGGUGAAAUGCGCAGAUAUCGGGAGGAAUACCAGUGGCGAAGGCGGCUUCCUGGCCUGUUCUUGGCGCUGAGGCGCGAAAGCUAGGGUAGCAAACGGG